rnacentral:rRNA from 1 species
UACGUAGGCGGCUUUGUAAGUAAGAGGUGAAAGCCUGGAGCUCAACUCCAGAACUGCCUUUUAGACUGCAUCGCUUAAAUCCAGGAGAGGUGAGUGGAAUUCCGAGUGUAGAGGUGAAAUUCGUAGAUAUUCGGAAGAACACCAGUGGCGAAGGCGGCUCACUGGACUGGUAUUGACGCUGAGGUACGAAAGCGUGGGGAGCAAACA